rnacentral:tmRNA from 1 species
GGCGCGAUCGAUCCGCAGUGGCUGCUCCGUUUCGCCGGGAUGCCGCUCUCCAACUACCGCGGCUUAAAUUAACCACGAGCGCUCGCCCACCGCCCGCUCACGGCGAUGGGACCGAGUGUCAUGAUGUGAGCUGGUGCCGCGCGUAACGCCUACGCGCGCGUCACGAGAUCAAGAGGCUGGUCCGCGUCCGGUUCCCGCUCUCCGGACAAGGCGUGGACGAGAUUUAACGGAGAGAAACGCAUGUAGGAGCCACACCACCACAGUUUUCGGACGCGGGUUCGACUCCCGCCGCCUCCACCA